rnacentral:rRNA from 1 species
GUGGGGAAUCUUGCGCAAUGGGCGAAAGCCUGACGCAGCCAUGCCGCGUGAAUGAUGAAGGUCUUAGGAUUGUAAAAUUCUUUCACCGGGGACGAUAAUGACGGUACCCGGAGAAGAAGCUCCGGCUAACUUCGUGCCAGCAGCCGCGGUAAUACGAAGGGGGCUAGCGUUGCUCGGAAUUACUGGGCGUAAAGGGCGCGUAGGCGGACAGCUUAGUCAGAGGUGAAAGCCCAGGGCUCAACCUUGGAAUUGCCUUUGAUACUGACUGUCUUGAGUUUGGGAGAGGUGAGUGGAACUCCGAGUGUAGAGGUGAAAUUCGUAGAUAUUCGGAAGAACACCAGUGGCGAAGGCGACUCACUGGCCCAAUACUGACGCUGAGGCGCGAAAGCGUGGGGAGCAAACAGGAUUAGAAACCCCGGUAGUCC